rfam:Halomonas meridiana strain R1t3 scaffold_55, whole genome shotgun sequence.
GUCAAUUACCUCCGGCUGAAGCCGGAGGCUUGUGAAAGCAAGCCUAGUUGACCAGGGUAAGCGGGCGGUACAGCCGCUACGUUGGUAACAGGUCGCCAAGACUCACCCACGGAUGCUUCCUCAGUCCGUGGCUCUGAAAGGUCAAGAUCAUGCUGGCGCAAGGUAAAACGCCGAAGGUCUUGACCGCUGCCACAAGGCAGGAGCCGGUUAUCGACAUUCCCGAGGGGAGAC